GACGAACGCUGGCGGCGUGCUUAACACAUGCAAGUCGAACGGUGAAGGGGAGCUUGCUCCCCGGAUCAGUGGCGAACGGGUGAGUAACACGUGGGCAACCUGCCCCAGACUUCGGGAUAACGCUUCGAAAGAGGUGCUAAUACCGGAUACGAACUCCUUGGGCAUCCUGGGAGUUGGAAAGUUUUUCGGUCUGGGAUGGGCCCGCGGCCUAUCAGCUAGUUGGUGAGGUAACGGCUCACCAAGGCGACGACGGGUAGCCGGCCUGAGAGGGCGACCGGCCACACCGGGACUGAGACACGGCCCAGACUCCUACGGGAGGCAGCAGUGGGGAAUAUUGCGCAGUAGGCGAAAGCCUGACGCAGCAACGCCGCGUGAGGGAUGACGGCCUUCGGGUUGUAAACCUCUUUCAGCAGGGAAGAAGCGAAAGUGACGGUACCUGCAGAAGAAGCACCGGCUAACUACGUGCCAGCAGCCGCCGCGGUAA
rnacentral:rRNA from 1 species